CUAAUAGUUAAUUAAAUUAUGUUAAAAUUUUACCGUUUAGAUAAAAAAAAGAAUUCGCCUAAAGAGAAGCGCCAUGUGAUUAAAUAAAAGGGAAACCAAUCUAAAAACAACCUAUCCUAAUUAGGUAUCCCGUAGCUCGAGCAUGGUUUCCGAACUAGGUCAAUUAAGGCUGCCUGGUACCAUUCUGAGUCCUCRUCAAAUGGCCCUGGAAUUUCUGAGGCGAUGAAGUCGUUAUCGUAGAGCGCGCACGAUGUUCCGCAGUCCCMGGAAUUUCUGACGCUAUGUGCUCAUCAUCGUAAAAUAAAUGGUGUUCCCUGGUCCAAGCGCACUCCCCAGGAACGAAGGUAUAGUGCGUAAAYGGAAAAUGGACGUGACCGUCUUUAGGAGCGGGUUUAAACGGCUCGUCCGUGUUAUAAGGCAAAAGGUGAGUGCGACAAAAAGGGCACUCAUAUCGUUGUGGCAGGUACGAAUUUCUAAAAUGCCUGAGCUAAACAUUACUCGUGGAUGUAUUUGCCCGAAUCCUGUGUCACGCAACAGGGCAUCACCACUGUUGGUGCCUUGACGUCAAAAUCGGCGCAAGUACAUCUACGCUCAUGAUGAGCGAUCAAGCGUUCACGAUCUCUACYAAGGGUUCUUUUUGAUUUGGUUUUGCGCUUCCUACAUCGUUUCUUAUGUUUCAGGGGACUGUCCAUCUAGAAAUAGAAACGGAUAGAGCUCCGAUUAAUAGCAUGGCCUUUUGACAACAAAACAAAAAGAAAAACAAGGUUUAAGCGAMAUUUUAGCUACAAGUGAAAAAAAAUUAAUGGAUUUUAACAAAUUUUAACAAAAAACUACAAUUUUAGCGAUUUCACAGGUAUAACGUUUCAUGAGACAUAAAGCAAUCAAAAAAAACUUACAUACUACUAAAUGCAAUUACUCAUAUCCUUCGCUGACUCGACCGAGUCAAAAAUAAAAGCCAAAAGACUUACCCGGUUCUGCACCACUGUUAGCGGGGGUUUACUCAAGUAGAAGCAGGUAUCAGUUCUUGUGUCUUUAUUGGUGCUAUUUGCAACUGUAAUGGGGCUUGACUUACUAACCAAGGAGACCAAAUGUAGAGCUUACUAGGAUCUUUAUUCGUCGUUAUUAAGACUCAAGUUACAAAUAUACAAGUGUGUUGAAUGUAGGAAAGGGUGCCUUUUUAUAAGGACAACCCAGUCAAACUAGUUAUUCYGAAUGUCGUCAUAAUUAUAUGGAAUAUUUAUUAUCUGGUCAUAACGUGACCUAUUGACUCGUGAUCUUCUUGUUCAAAAGAAACUAUUUGUAAACCRGAUUAACUGACAAAGCGUCGAUGACAAAGACUUAAGUAGUGGUUUUCACACAAACUGAGUAAUAAGAAUAUAAGUCUUAUUCAGUAAAAGAUAGGUAAAUUCUGACUCAAAGUUCGUAGUCAAACAAAACUUAAUUGGUGACGCUUAUUAGAUAUUCCAGAUAGAAAAGUUCUACUGCUCAUGCGUUAAUCACUGGUCAAAAACUGGUUUUUGACGACAGCUGAACUACAGAGUAGGAUUUCUCAUCCUGUACAAAUAGUAUUCAAUUACGCGUGUUGGACAGAGGUGUUGCAGAAUGUCAACAGAUAACGUACCAUAGAAAUAGUAAUUAAGGUCUUACUGAAAACAUGACGUUGCUAUGACAACUUGAGUAAUUAGAGUUCACUUGAGUCGAAAUAUGAGAUAACUAGAAAUAGCCUCGCUACAAUACCCUCUCUUUUAAAGUUCGAGCUCCUGCGAGAAGUAUUGAAGGCAGAAAAAGAUCCAAAUAGUUCUAAAGAUAUUUUGCUUCACCGUAAACCCUUAAGAAUAAAUGCGAUUAAAUAAGUGGAAACUCUAAAUACAGAGUUACCGUAAAAAUACGAGUAAAUGUUUUGAAUAAAUAGAAGUAACUGGAAUAGGUAAUCAAUUUCAAGCAAUCAAAGUGAAUUGAAAAUUCGAAAAARAGAAACCGUUUCUCAGCGUAAAAUUGAGUAAAUACUGUAGUUAAUUUUUUUGUAAGUUACUUUUUGAAAAUUUUGUACUUUUUGUAAAUAUUUUGUUCCCAACACCGAAAUAAUAAGGUAAAUCCGAGAAAAACCCUAAACGUGAAUAAAUUGAUUACAUAAUACCAAUACCGUAAAUACCAAGAUGACCAAUCACUCCGUUAUUGCGUCAUUCUUCGUGCUAAGCUUUCUUUUUUUUGUAUUAUGUUUUUAAGGGUUGUUUUUUCUACACAGAAUAUUUUUAUCACUCAAAUCAUUUCAUACGUCACCCUAGCAUCCUAAGUCAAAAGUCAGUAACAGCGAGCGUACGAUACAUGGUACAACAAUCACGCAAAACAAAAAUAACGUUACAAGAAACUAAACGUUAGAGGGGAAAGGCCCCAACAGAGCGAAGCCCUGCCGACGGGCAACGCGGCGUGCUCGAGCCCAUCGUUGCUCGGGCAGGGGACAGUAGUUCAAUGUUCUAAACAGAACGGGCCAUGAACCCUCAGUGCCAUCCGGGGUUGGAAGUGGCACGUUUGUCGGGAGGAUGGGCCUCCCACACCCAUGUUCGGGGCAUUCCCGACACAAAUGUUCUAACAAACAGGGUUCAUGAACCCGGCUGCCACAGCAGGUUAGGGUGGCCGGUGUGUGUGGCAUUUCCGCGAAGACAAUUUUAUUACAGACAAUACAUGGUUCUAGUGGGGUUGACAUGACGAUAUUAAGCUGUGAAAUCGAAAGAAGCAAACCAAACAUUACUAUGAAAGAAAAACGAUUACAGUUUAAGUGUGGCAAUUUGACUGGC